UGUAGAACUUCCUCUGCAUCACCUUGGUCCUUAGAUCUUAAGGAUGCAUGGGCAUGGUAUUUGGCUUUUCCCUUCUCAUAGGUCAUAUAUUUUUGAAGAUCAAUUUUCUCUAAUAUCUUGAUACUUUCAUAUUAUAGAUAAGAUUUGGUUGACUUGUGCUACAUAAAAGCUACCAUCGACCACAUUUAUUACAAGACUGAUUGAUGAUAUCUAUUGAAAGGUAUAGAAAUGGAUCUCUCGACUUGCUUUACAAUCACCAUGGAGAAAAACUUCUGCUACUCACCAAAUGGCCUCAACACAAUGGCCACUUGGCUUGUAAUUGCCUUCAGUAGGUCCUGCUAGUUUUCUUCCAUAUGGAAUCUCUCUCAAGUAUAUGUAUGUAUAUGCAUAAUGUAUGUA
rnacentral:lncRNA from 1 species